rnacentral:misc_RNA from 1 species
AUUCAUCAACCCUGGUGUUUGGUUUUGUGACCUCUCGCUUGGGAUUGGAAUUGGGUGUUGCCGGUGGCACACUGGCUCACCUUGAAUUUAUUAGCUGGAAUUGUUGGGGUCUCUGGUUUGACUCGGUGUGAUAAGUAUCUUCACUGAGGACACCUUUCGGGGGUGGCCAAGGCCUUUGACAACCGGUUUCCAAUUAAAUUUCCAU